rnacentral:rRNA from 1 species
AGUAACACGUAAACAACCUGCCUUCAGGAUGGGGACAACAGACGGAAACGACUGCUAAUACCGAAUAAGUUCCAAGGGCCGCAUGGCCCAUGGAAGAAAAGGUGGCCUCUACCUGUAAGCUAUCGCCUGAAGAGGGGUUUGCGUCUGAUUAGCUGGUUGGUGAGGUAACGGCCCACCAAGGCGACGAUCAGUAGCCGACCUGAGAGGGUGACCGGCCACAUUGGGACUGGGACACGGCCCAG